rnacentral:rRNA from 1 species
CCUACGGGUGGCAGCAGUGAGGAAUAUUGGUCAAUGGGCGAGAUCCUGAACCAGCCAAGCCGCGUGAGGGAAGAAGGUACAGUGGAUUGUAAACCUCUUUUGUCAGGGAACAAAGCCGGGGACGAGUCCCGGGCUGAGUGUAUCUGAAGAAAAAGCAUCGGCUAACUCCGUGCCAGCAGCCGCGGUAAUACGGAGGAUGCGAGCGUUAUCCGGAUUUAUUGGGUUUAAAGGGUGCGCAGGCGGCCCGUUAAGUCAGCGGUAAAAGUGCGGGGCUCAACCCCGUCGAGCCGUUGAAACUGGCAGGCUGGAGUUGGAGAGAAGUACGCGGAAUGCGCGGUGUAGCGGUGAAAUGCUUAGAUAUCGCGCAGAACCCCGAUUGCGAAGGCAGCGUACCGGCUCCAGACUGACGCUGAGGCACGAAAGCGUGGGUAUCGAACAGGAUUAGAUACCCCAGUAGUC